rnacentral:rRNA from 1 species
AACGUAGGAGGCGAGCGUUAUCCGGAAUCACUGGGCGUAAAGGGCGCGUAGGUGGCUUGGUAAGUGUGUGGUGAAAGCCUGGGGCUCAACCCCAGGUCUGCCGUGCGAACUGCCAAGCUUGAGCAUAGUAGAGGCAGGUGGAAUUUCGGGUGUAGCGGUGGAAUGCGUAGAUAUCCGAAAGAACACCGGUGGCGAAGGCGGCCUGCUGGGCUAUUGCUGACACUGAGGCGCGACAGCGUGGGGAGCAAACAGG